GUUUUCUUACGUAUCCUUCCGCCGUGCAUAGUAACGCCGUUGCUAAGGGCGCAGUUUUUCGCGCCACCAGCGGGAUGAAAUAUCAUCCGAGUUGACAGCUGAUUGCAUCACGAUGUACGGCCUUUCGGCGAAAAUGGCGAAAGAGUUCUACCCAAGAUCAGCUGAGGAUGUGCUUCUUGCAGCUCACAGUGUCUGUAACUUUCAUUAGGUGAUGCUCUGCUGUGGAUCUGAUGAGGCUGACAGCUGUGUUUACUUAGCCAUAUCAUUUGGCUGAUUGGCAUUACUAUGUAUCAUUUAUAUCUAUACCAUACUGUACAGAAUAUCAUUUCACAAAAGGCCACAGCAAGUUAAUCUUAUGGAUGACAUGCCAAAUGAAAAAAUACUGUAAAUGAGAUAGUAAUACAAUGAAAAAAACAGAUGGCUAAAUUUUCAAAAUAGACACCAUAAACAUUGUAACACGAUUUGAAGUGACAAAACGUGGUAUCACAACUAACAAGGCAUUCAUUCCUGUAUUAAAGAAGUGAACUAGUAUAGUUUAAGUGAUACUGGUGUGGUACACUAGUAUCACUUGCCAAGCAUGGCAACUAGCAUAUGAUUCAUCGCUUCCAUAUUGGUUUUAGUUUUACAACUAUCCAACAAGUUUCACUUCUGCAACUAUAGUCACCUCUCUCGUGUUACCUCUACAAGUAUAAUCAUUAGGCUUUAGUACAACACAGUAUGUUUGCCCAUUUUGGUCUAUCUGACCAUCCCAAAAGAGGAAAAAAAAUUCUUGUUUUUUUUUUUCUGAAAUCAGGCAAAAACUAAUGGGGGCGAUGAUGUCAUCCAUAAAAUUCACUUACUUGGCCUUAUUGGAAUAACAUGUAUAUUAUCUGGCAAAAUGGUCAGCUGUGUGGCAGCAGAUUCCAUAGAUAUUGUUUGAUUACAACACAAAUCUUGUCUCCAACUUGCCAUUCAUAUGUAACACGUUAGACAUAUUUGUUCAAUAAAGUGUGGCUUACAUUUGA